rnacentral:lncRNA from 1 species
UGGUGGCCGAAUGUCCACCGGGCUACGUACAGAGAGGCGGCACGAGCGACUGCUACCUCUUCCACAGCGGCAGCAAGAGGACUUGGUACGACGCCACUUCCUACUGCACCAAGCAGAACGGCAACCUCGUCAGGAUUGAAACACCGGACUUGACGGGCUGGCUAUCGCUCCAAAUCGUGGAGUCUGGCAUUGUAAGCGACUCCUCGGAGUUCUGGAUAGACGCCAGGUACAAUGAUACGGCAGAAAUAUGGUACUGGGCAAGCAACGGACAUGUCGUUGACCUGAACUACAUUCCCGAAGAUAAGCGCCCGAGGGAAGGCGACUUCGGGGUGCUUACGACGGACUCAACUCUACUCGGUCAUCAUGAGUCUGCUCAGUACCACUUCAUCUGCCAUCGUC